ACUGGCUCAGAGGUUAAAGCAUCUGCCUGGAAUGCAGGAGACCCUGGUUCGAUCCCUGGGU
rnacentral:tRNA from 1 species